CUGGGACUUUUGGAGCCGGGGUCCUCCGGUUUAAGUCCCGCUUGUCUUCCGGGCCGCGUCCUGUCCGCAGCCUGGUUCUGCUCUGUAGGAGUUGCGGCUUUACAGUAACAGCCACCAGAAAGUGCUCCAGGUGCUGUGCAGGGGCCCUGGAGAGAGCUGGAAACUCUGCAGCCUUCCUCGCCCUCCCAGCAAGCCCAACCCUGCCUGGCUCCAGAUCGGUCAUGCCUGGAUGGGUUUAA
rnacentral:lncRNA from 1 species